GGUUUAGCCGACCCGGCUUCCCUUAUCCAUUGAGGAGUGUCCCAUUAACCAGAAUUAGUCUAAUCUACCCCGGACCGAGAAGAUAACUUCGUUUAUUUCUUUCUUCUUUCUUCAUCUUUUCUCUUCUUCUCAUCUCUUCCUCUGUUCGAAACCAAGAGAUGGUUUUGAGAUACGACUUGAGUGAAUUAAUUGUUGAGAGAGAGCAGAUUAAGUAGAAGAUGUUGAUGAUGUUGUGACUGAUUGAACAUGAGAUAAAGAAGAUGAUGAUGAUUAUGUUAAUCUGAGAAGAUCAAAUUAGGGUUUGUAAGAAAUUCUGAGAAGAUUUAGAGGAUGAAAUUGAGGGUAUAAAGGAGACAUAAGAGACGGGUUUGAAUUGAAUUAGAGUUUAAGUUUGAUGAAAAGCUUGGGAAUCCAUAGUUAGGUUUUGAAUUGGAAGCCGAGGUUAGUUUGAUGAAAAGCUUGGGAAACCAGGGUUUGUCUGAGUUGCAGCUUGAAGAAUUAAACUAAAUUGUUAGAUGGGUUUGUUUAAUUGAAGUUUAGAAUUGCUUAAUUGUUGGAUUUUAAUUCCUUGGGUUAGGGUUCUUGUAAGAACAGAGGUUUAAGAUUCAUGGGUUCGAAAUUUAUAUGAAGAAAAUGAAUUUGACAGUUUAGGGUUAUGAAGAAAUCAAGGUAGAAGAUUAAGCAGAGGGUGAAUCAUCUCUUUCAAUCAUUUUGGGAUUUAGUCUAAGAACAAAGAAGGGAUUGAAUUCAAGUUGGUUGAAAGAAGCUUCUUUGAGAGGAGGAAUUGGAGGUUUGUUCUGGCUCACAGGGAGUUGUGAUGGAAUUGGUGGAGGUAUUUACAGGCUGUAAUGAAGUAGAAUGAUUACAGAUGUUGGUAAGAAAUCAUAGAAGAUGAAAUUGAGUUUAUGUUGGUGUUGUUGAUUGAGUUGCAGAUUAGUGGGGUUGAUAGUUUGAGGCAGUGGUGUGUCAAUGUAUUGUAAAUUAUAAAUGUUACAGACUGAUCUGAGUGAACCCUGAGAUAGUAUUGCAGGAUAGUGAUGAAGCUGCAGAUGUUACUCAAUGAAGAACUGAAAUGAAAUGGAUAUGAUGGGUAUGUGUGUGUGUUGUAUGAAUGGUAAUAGUUUUAGAAUAUCAUAUUGAGAAUGGUAUUAAUGUUGUAAGGGUUGUAUUCGGAGCUGAAAUGUGUGUGUGUUUGGAACUUAGAAGUACAGACGUAGAAGUGAUUGGAUUGUAGAUUUAGAGUGGCUGGUGCUAUGUAGAUUGUUGAUAAGCAUUAUAGCUGGAGUUGUAACUACAGAGAUGAAAUGAGAGUUGUAAGGUGUUUUUCAGGUGCAGCUAUAGAGUGGGUUGAAGUUUAGGUGGUGGGUUUGAUCAUGGGAUGGACGUUAUAGAAGUAUAUCUAGAGAUGAAGUUGCAGUUAGAUAUUAAAAAGGUGUUAGUUGUAUCCAGAGAUAGAGUUAGAGUUGGAAUGGUGGGUGGGUGGAGUGAACUGAAAUGAGAUAUUUGUAUGACUGUGUUGUAAAAAUGAAAGUUAGAUGAGCUGUGGAGUUGAAUCUGUGCAUUGGGAGGCUUGCUACUGCUUUAGCAGGUAAACAGAUUUUGAAGUUGUAAUUGUAAUUAUGAAGUUUACUUGGAUUCAAUGUACUGUUGUAUUGUUAUGUUUA